rnacentral:rRNA from 1 species
GUCCACGCCCUAAACGAUGUCGACUAGUUGUCGGGUCUUUACAGACUUGGUAACGCAGCUAACGCGUGAAGUCGACCGCCUGGGGAGUACGGUCGCAAGAUUAAAACUCAAAGGAAUUGACGGGGGACCCGCACAAGCGGUGGAUGAUGUGGAUUAAUUCGAUGCAACGCGAAAACCUUACCUACCCUUGACAUGGCAGGGACGAGGCAGAGAUGUCUCGGUGCCCGAAAGGGAACCUGCACACAGGUGCUGCAUGGCUGUCGU